rnacentral:rRNA from 1 species
UACGUAGGGUGCGAGCGUUAAUCGGAAUUACUGGGCGUAAAGCGUGCGCAGGCGGUUCGUUAAGUCUGAUGUGAAAGCCCCGGGCUCAACCUGGGAACUGCAUUUGAAACUGGCGGGCUUGAGUGUGGCAGAGGGGGGUGGAAUUCCGCGUGUAGCAGUGAAAUGCGUAGAGAUGCGGAGGAACACCGAUGGCGAAGGCAGCCCCCUGGGCCAACACUGACGCUCAGGCACGAAAGCGUGGGGAGCAAACAGG